UGGGGAAUAUUGCGCAAUGGGCGAAAGCCUGACGCAGCGACGCCGCGUGGGUGAUGAAGGUUUUCGGAUCGUAAACCUCUGUCAGAAGGGAAGAAACCGCACUGUGCUAAUCAGCAGUGCCUUGACGGUACCUUCAAAGGAAGCACCGGCUAACUCCGUGCCAGCAGCCGCGGUAAUACGGAGGGUGCAAGCGUUAAUCGGAAUUACUGGGCGUAAAGCGCACGUAGGCUGCUUUGUAAGUCAGGGGUGAAAUCCCACGGCUCAACCGUGGAACUGCCUUUGAUACUGCUUAGCUUGAAUCCGGGAGAGGGUGGCGGAAUUCCAGGUGUAGGAGUGAAAUCCGUAGAUAUCUGGAGGAACAUCAGUGGCGAAGGCGGCCACCUGGACCGGUAUUGACGCUGAGGUGCGAAAGCGUGGGGAGCAAACAGG
rnacentral:rRNA from 1 species